GUCACGGUUUGGGGGUGUUUUUCUCCUGUCGAGGCAUCGCUCUGGCCGUACAGCAGUUUUGGGCGAGAGGUCAUCGUGAAAUCACUGUGUUCGUCCCUCAGUGGAGGCAGAAGAACAACUCAAAGGUUAAAGAAAGGCAAUACAUGAAUGAACUCUAUGAUCUGGGUUUCCUCAAAUACACUCCAUCCAGAGAGGUCGAGGGCAAGAGAAUCAACUCAUAUGAUGACCGAUUCAUGCUGGAGCUGGCACAGAAGACGAAUGGAGUUAUUGUGACUAAUGACAACCUGAGAGAUCUGGUGGACGAGUCGCCCGCGUGGAGAGACAUCAUAAA